AAACCAUGACUUGGAAAUUUCUGUAAAUACUUUUUAAAUCUCUCCCAAGCUUCAUACAAUUGUUCCCCUGGUCACUGCUUGAAUUCAUAGAUCUUGUCACGAAUCU